AAAAAGUUAUUAUUGAAUAAAUAAAUCAAAAUGUUUUACCAUAUAUUUCGACAUGUACAGACAGUAAUAAAACACACGGAUCGAUACGUUCAAUCAGCUCCACAGCGGAGCGCGAACAAGCAGCCUAGUUGUAUUAACAGUAGAAGCUAGAAAGCCUCCAUUUCUAACUACCAGAAGUAGCACUCUUUACUGAAAUGCCAUCUGACCUUCUUCUCAAAGGGAGACAUGAUAUGAAUAAGGCAGCAUGGAGUAGUAGGAGGAUAUUAGAUAUAGCUGUGCAUUGUCUGAGUGCAAAGUGCCACAGAGCAUCAGCAUCUGCAUCACACAGAAAGAGAGCAAACUUGUUUAUUUGGCAAUCUCUCUCCCGUGAACAUCAUUUGGGAGUUUGUGGAGGAAACAAACAAAACAUUACCCAUAUUUUCGUUAUAAUGCAGCGUGAUUAUUCACAUGCAUUUGCUUCUUUGGUCUCUUUCACGGUUUGUAGCUGUUAGUUUCUACACCCCCACCCACCCACCAAGCCAAUUCCGAUUUUCUCCCAUCAGCCAGUCCACUCUUUCUAUCUCCUCCUUCUGUUCAUCAUCUUCUUCUCCUUCUUUCUUCAAAC
rnacentral:lncRNA from 1 species